GCGACGAUGGUCAAGGGGUUACGAUACGGUCCUCCCAUGGCAUAGAUUACAGAAUCUUGCUGCAUAUUGGCAUAGACCGUGACCCGGGUUCGAAUCCCGGUCGUCGCA